AGAGUUUGAUCCUGGCUCAGGAUGAACGCUAGCUACAGGCUUAACACAUGCAAGUCGAGGGGCAGCAUGAUUGAAGCUUGCUUCAAUCGAUGGCGACCGGCGCACGGGUGAGUAACACGUAUCCAACCUGCCGAUAACUCGGGGAUAGCCUUUCGAAAGAAAGAUUAAUACCCGAUAGUAUAGUUUUUCCGCAUGGUUUCACUAUUAAAGAAUUUCGGUUAUCGAUGGGGAUGCGUUCCAUUAGAUAGUUGGCGGGGUAACGGCCCACCAAGUCAACGAUGGAUAGGGGUUCUGAGAGGAAGGUCCCCCACAUUGGAACUGAGACACGGUCCAAACUCCUACGGGAGGCAGCAGUGAGGAAUAUUGGUCAAUGGACGAGAGUCUGAACCAGCCAAGUAGCGUGAAGGAUGACUGCCCUAUGGGUUGUAAACUUCUUUUAUACGGGAAUAAAGUGGAGUAUGCAUACUCCUUUGUAUGUACCGUAUGAAUAAGGAUCGGCUAACUCCGUGCCAGCAGCCGCGGUAAUACGGAGGAUCCGAGCGUUAUCCGGAUUUAUUGGGUUUAAAGGGAGCGUAGGCGGGUGCUUAAGUCAGUUGUGAAAGUUUGCGGCUCAACCGUAAAAUUGCAGUUGAUACUGGGCGCCUUGAGUGCAGCAUAGGUAGGCGGAAUUCGUGGUGUAGCGGUGAAAUGCUUAGAUAUCACGAAGAACUCCGAUUGCGAAGGCAGCUUACUGGACUGUAACUGACGCUGAUGCUCGAAAGUGUGGGUAUCAAACAGGAUUAGAUACCCUGGUAGUCCACACAGUAAACGAUGAAUACUCGCUGUUGGCGAUACACAGUCAGCGGCCAAGCGAAAGCAUUAAGUAUUCCACCUGGGGAGUACGCCGGCAACGGUGAAAC
rnacentral:rRNA from 1 species